rnacentral:rRNA from 1 species
GAUGAACGCUGGCGGCGUGCCUAAUACAUGCAAGUCGAGUGAACAGAUAAGGAGCUUGCUCCUUUGACGUUAGCGGCGGACGGGUGAGUAACACGUGGGUAACCUACCUAUAAGACUGGAAUAACUCCGGGAAGCCGGGGCUAAUGCCGGAUAACAUUUAGAACCGCAUGGUUCUAAAGUGAAAGAUGGUUUUGCUAUCACUUAUAGAUGGACCCGCGCCGUAUUAGCUAGUUGGUAAGGUAACGGCUUACCAAGGCAACGAUACGUAGCCGACCUGAGAGGGUGAUCGGCCACACUGGAACUGAGACACGGUCCAGACUCCUACGGGAGGCAGCAGUAGGGAAUCUUCCGCAAUGGGCGAAAGCCUGACGGAGCAACGCCGCGUGAGUGAUGAAGGUCUUCGGAUCGUAAAACUCUGUUAUUAGGGAAGAACAAAUGUGUAAGUAACUGUGCACGUCUUGACGGUACCUAAUCAGAAAGCCACGGCUAACUACGUG